AAACAUUGAUUGUUCAAUCCGCCCGGGAAUUACGAACACCAGUCUGAAACCCAAAGGACUUGGCGGUGCUUUACAUCCACCUAGAGGAGCCUGUCCUAUAACCGAUAAACCCCGUUAAACCUCACCCUCCCUUGCCCGCCUAUAUACCGCCGUCGUCAGCUUACCCUAUGAAGGCUCAAUAGUAAGCGCAAUUGGCACAGCCCAGUACGUCAGGUCGAGGUGUAGUACAUGAGAGGGGAAGAGAUGGGCUACAUUCGCUCGAGCAUUGAAAGAAGGAGGAUUUAGUAGUAAGCUGGGAAUAGAGUGCCCAACUGAAAUCGGCCCUAAAGCGCGC
rnacentral:rRNA from 1 species